rnacentral:rRNA from 1 species
GAUGAACGCUAGCUACAGGCUUAACACAUGCAAGUCGAGGGACCGGCGCACGGGUGAGUAACACGUAUCCAACCUUCCCUUUACUCGGGGAUAGCCUUUCGAAAGAAAGAUUAAUACCCGAUAUAAAGGAUGGGGAUGCGUUGCAUUAGGUUGUUGGUAAGGUAACGGCUCACCAAGCCUUCGAUGGAUAGGGGUUAUGAGAGGAAGUCCCCCCACAUUUGAACUGCGGCACGGUCCAAACUCCUACGGGACGCAGCAGUGAGGAAUACUGGUCAAUGGUCGCUAGCCUGAACCAGCCAAGUAGAGUGAAGGAGGAAGGCUUUUGGGUCGUAAACUUCUUUUAUAUAAGAAUAUGUAUUAUAUGAAUAAGGAUCGGCUAACUCCGUGCCAGCAGCCGCGGUAAUAC